GUCGUCAUAGCCCAAGGGAUAGGGCGGCUGUCUCCUAAACAGCAGGUUGAAGGUUCAAGUCCUUCUGGCGACUCCA
rnacentral:tRNA from 1 species